rnacentral:rRNA from 1 species
UUAUUUUUCUAAGGAUUAUAGAUAAAAUUAAAAUAUUUGGCGGCUAUUUAAAUUAAAGGGAUUUGCUGUAAUCGAUUUACCYCGUUGUGUUAUAUUUAGUUUUUUUUUGUAUACCGUCAUUUAGAUAAUUUUUAAAAAAUUAAUUAUGGGGUAACUAUCCAUUAUAUUAGAUCAAGGUGCAGAAAUAAUUAAGAUAAGGUUAAUGACAAUAAUUAGUAUUAAACAGGAGAUAAAUAAUUAUUUUUAAUAGGAGGAUUUAAUUGUAAUAAAAGAUUAUUGAAAUUAAAUUAUAGUGUACAAAUUGCCCGUCAUUCUC